AACGAACGCUGGCGGCAUGCCUAACACAUGCAAGUCGAACGAGACCUUCGGGUCUAGUGGCGCACGGGUGCGUAACGCGUGGGAAUCUGCCCUCUGGUACGGAAUAACUCAGGGGAACUUGAGCUAAUACCGUAUAAUGACUUCGGUCCAAAGAUUUAUCGCCUGAGGAUGAGCCCGCGUCGGAUUGGCUAGUUGGUGAGGUAAAGGCUCACCAAGGCGACGAUCCGUAGCUGGUCUGAGAGGAUGAUCAGCCACACUGGGACUGAGACACGGCCCAGACUCCUACGGGAGGCAGCAGUGGGGAAUAUUGGACAAUGGGCGAAAGCCUGAUCCAGCAAUGCCGCGUGAGUGAUGAAGGCCUUAGGGUUGUAAGCUCUUUUACCCGGGAUGAUAAUGACAGUACCGGGAGAAUAAGCCCCGGCUAACUCCGUGCCAGCCGCCGCCGUAA
rnacentral:rRNA from 1 species